GAGGUACAGCUGGUAGAGACAGGAGGAGGCUUGGUGCAGCCUGGAAACUCUCUAAAACUUUCCUGUGCCACUUCGGGAUACCCUUUUUAUGACUACUGGAUGGAUUGGGUCCGCCAUUCUCCAGAAAAGGGGCUGGAGUGGGUUGCUCGAAUUGCAACAAAAACUCAUAAUUAUGCAACGUACUAUGCAGAGUCUGUGAAAGGCCGAUUCAUCGUCUCAAGAGAUGAUUCCAAAAGCAGUGCAUACAUGCAGAUGAACAGCUUAAGAAAGGAAGACACUGCCGUUUAUUACUGUGCAAGA